rnacentral:tRNA from 1 species
GAGGGUAUAGCUCAGUGAUAGAGCACAUGCCUAGUAUGCACAAGGUCCUGGGUUCAAUCCCUGGUACCUCCA